GGUUGGAUAAGGAGCAUUUAUGUUUUGGUUAUAGUAGAUAUUUUUUAAUAAAAGCUUUAUCAUUUUUCAGCAAGAACAUCAGAAGAGAAUGGCUGCUGCUGAUGAUAAGAGUGAUGAAGAUGGAAAUGCAUCUGAUAAUAACAGUAAAUUGGUUAAAGACCCAAGAACUGUAUCUGGCGAUGAUCUUGGGGACGAUCUUGAGGAGGUGCUUAGAACUAAGAUGGAUUGGAUUGGCGAGAUUUUGAGAAGGAAAGAAAAUGAACUUGAGAGUGAAGAUGCUGCUUCUAGUGGGGAUUCAGAGAGUGACGAGGACGAUGGUGAGGAAUGAGGAUGAAGGAAGUGACGAUGGGGAAGAUGAAGGAAGUGACGAGUAUGAUGAAGAACAAGGAAAGACACAGACUAUUAAGGACUGGGAGCAAAGUGACGAUGAUAUUAUUGAUACCGAGCUAGAGGAUGAUGACAAAGGCUUUGGUGAUGAUGGUAAGAAGGUGGUGAAAAUAAAGGGCCAUAAGGAGGUAUCCAUCAAGGGAAAACAAGUUGGCACUUUACAAACCGAAAAAGAAAAAGUGAACGUGAAGCAUCGGCAAAACGAACUUCCCUAUACAAUUGAAGCCCCCAAAACCCUUGAGGAGUUUAAUUCAUUGAUAGACAAUUGUUCUGAUGAUCAAGUUAUGGAAGCAAUUAGGAGAAUUCGUGCAUUCAAUGCAAUAACUGUCGCAGCAGAGAAUAAAAAGAAAAUGCAAGUUUUUUACGGGGUAUUGCUGCAAUAUUUCGCUGUGUUGGCAAAUAAGAAGCCAUUGAAUUUCAAGCUUUUAAAUAUGCUUGUAAAGCCGCUGAUGGAGAUGAGUGCAGCGACUCCAUACUUUGCAGCGUGCUCGCCAAAGGCUACAAAGGACAAGGGCACAGUUUUGUGAAGAUCUUAAGAAUACAGGAAAAAGCAGUUGGCCAUCUUUGAAGACCAUCUUUCGGUUGAGGCUUUGGUCCAUGAUAUUUCCAUGCUCUGAUUUUCGCCAUUGUGUCAUGACUCCUGCUAUACUACUAAUGUGUGAAUACCUUAUGCGGUGUCCCAUCAUUUGUGGAAGAGAUAUUGCAAUUGCUUCCUUCUUGUGCUCUUUGCUUCUAAGUAAUGAUCAUAUGAACUUAGUUCUCCAAGCUUAUGGAUAUCAACUUCUUGCCCUGAGGCUAUAGUAUUUAUUCAAACUUUGCUGAUGGCGGCUUUAGACAGAAAACAGCGGUCUAAUUCCCAGUUGGAGAUCAAGGAACUUGGGUCUUUGCUUUGUAUACGCAGUAGCAAAGUGGAGAUGGAUUCUUUAGAUUUUCUUACGCUGAUGGACUUACUAGAGGACUCUCAGUAUUUCCACAUAACUACAGGGCCAGCAUGCCUGUAGCAGUUCUGGAAUCACUGCAAGGAUUUGUAAAUCUAUAUAAGGAACUUAUUUCUUUUCCUGAGAUUUUCAUGCCAAUUUCAAAAUUAUUAUGCAAAUUGGUUGGAGAAAAUCAUAUUCCAGAUGCAUUAAGGGAGAAAAUCAAGGAUUUUUCCCAAUUAAUUGACACGAAGGCUCAGGAUCAUUACAUGCUGCGUCAACCACUGAAAAAGCGGAAGAAAAAGCCCAUGUCCAUCAGGAUGCUUAAUCCGAAAUUUGAGGCGAACUUUGUCAAGGGUAGAGAUUAUGACCCAGAUCGUGAGCAUGCUAAAACGAAAAAGUUGAAGAAACGUCUGAAACAUGAAGCUGAAGGUCCUGCGCGUGAACUGUUCAAGGAUAAUAGGUUCUUGGCCGAGGCGAAGGAAAGAGAAAAGGCCCUACUAGCCGCAGAAAAGUCUGAGAAACAUGGGAAAAAUCUUGCUUUUCUUCAAGAACAAGAGCAUGCAUUUAAAUCAGGGCAAUUGGGAAAGGGCCGGAAGAGAAGAAAAUGAAAUUAGCUUUUGGUUGUCGCUUGGAAAAUCUUAUUGUCAAAUGCUUCCUGGUUUUUGAUGUUGGAUGUUAAUAUUGCUGUGAUCGACCGAAGUUGGAUUUGAAGAUGUACAUGCGUUUCAGUUGUAGUUGCCUCUUGUUCAUGGU